AUGGCCAAUACCGGAAGACGGAUCGGCUGUGCUGCUUUCUGUGCAUUAGUCUUUCCAGGCUUCCUGGCUACUCUGAUUUUGUUAGAGCAAGGUUUUUUUUUUUUUUUUUCUUGUUGUUUUGUUUUUUCCAGCUGGCAUCCUGAGAACGGGAGAAGAAGAGAAUACCGGAGGGGCGAAAUCAUAGGAAUCCCCGGAUUGAGAACUCUACUCAAUCAUUCGGCCGGGCCGCGUUUUCACCGUGGGUCGUCCUGUCAGGACCCUCGACGUGGUGGCUUCACAAAGCAGAUGGAGGUCGAAAUUGAAUUGCUGCUGACUGUUGUCCCUUGUUAUGGCCUGUGGAGAUAUGACAGUUGAGGAAGAACUUAGAGGAAUGCCAAGUAGCAGAGCAUGAAAGAGUAGGUGGGACCCACUGCCUUGGACACUUUAUGGCUGAGAGCAUUUGGCAAGAAAAAAGCUGCAGCCUCUAUAUUAGCCCUGCAAAUAGAUCUCAACAUCAACCAUGCCCCCACCCUCACCUCUGUUUAAUUUGCCCCAUGAUGGAUGUAUUUACCAAGAUCUGUUCUUCUCAUUUCCCGCUACCUCCCUGGACCCCUCAUAAAAUACCCAGAUAAUGAAAUAGAUCACCCUCGAGAGUUUCCUUGUUUGGUUGAAAAAUUGGGCACAGGAAGCAGAGACCAGGCACAUGACAUGUCUUGUCUGUCCUACUUUUGAUUCCUUUGGGUUUGUCCUGUUUUGCGGUCAGUUUGACCAGGGAUUUUCACCUGGAGUCUCUGGAUGAUCUUGCAGAGGUGCCUGACCCCAGGGACUAGAAGCACAGUAUCUGGGCAGGGUACGGCACUCUUUUUUUUUUUUUUUUUUCCUUUUUCCAUCAGGAGAGAGUCUAUAGCUUUCACAAGAUUCUCGAAGGUGCUUAAGACUUCAAAAAAGCUUAUGAAUUCCUGCUUUGGAUCUUUGGUUUAUGGGGCAGUGAAACUUUGUGUGUUUGCUUUAACGACCGAGACACAGCAUUUUAUGGGAACGAGAACAAGGGAGUGGUGGAGAAAAACAGCUUGGAGGGCAUUAUUACCUUUCCCAAUCUUCAUUUCUUGUCAUGAAUUAUUAAUCAUGAGGUAACACUUCAUCUGAUGCUUUGCAAACUCUCCCCCUGGUAAGAACAGCCUAAUUGAAUUGGAGGAAGUGGAGCAAGAAGAGCUAAACGUGGUCUUUGAUGGUUUCACCAAAAGCAAUUAUCCACACUGCAGCCUUCUCCACCUGUUUGAAAACCCAAGGCCCACUAAUCCUGUGCCACAAGGGAACACAUGGGAGGGGAGAGGCAAAAUUAAACUGGUUGAGCU
rnacentral:lncRNA from 9 species